CUCAUGGGUUAGGUUGAUCGGGUUGAAGACAUUUGAACAACACAAUCCAAUGUUUGUGGUUUGAAAAAUCUUAACCCAACCCAACCUAGCCCGUACGG
rnacentral:pre_miRNA from 1 species